rnacentral:rRNA from 1 species
CGGGGGGGGCAAGCGUUGUUCGGAAUUACUGGGCGUAAAGGGUUCGUAGGUGGCCGACUAAGUCAGACGUGAAAUCCUUCAGCUUAACUGGGGAACUGCGUCUGAGACUGGCCGGCUCGAGGGCAGGAGAGGAACGUGGAAUUCCAGGUGUAGCGGUGAAAUGCGUAGAUAUCUGGAGGAACACCGGUGGCGAAGGCGGCGUUCUGGACUGCAUCUGACACUGAGGAACGAAAGCCAGGGGAGCAAACGGGAUUAGAUACCCCGGUAGUCCUGGCCCUAAACGAUGAAUGCUUGGUGUGGCGGGUAUCGAUCCCUGCCGUGCCGCAGUUAACGCGUUAAGCAUUCCGCCUGGGGAGUACGGUCGCAAGGCUG